UGUGUGCACGAUGAAGGUCUUCGGAUCGUAAAGUGCUUUCANNUUGGGAAGAAGAAAGUGACGGUACCAACAGAAGAAGCGACGGCUAAAUACGUGCCAGCAGCCG
rnacentral:rRNA from 1 species